rnacentral:rRNA from 1 species
UACGAAGGGGGCUAGCGUUGUUCGGAAUCACUGGGCGUAAAGCGCACGUAGGCGGAUUUUUAAGUCAGGGGUGAAAUCCCGAGGCUCAACCUCGGAACUGCCUUCGAUACUGUAGAGCUUGAGACCGGAAGAGGUAAGUGGAACUGCGAGUGUAGAGGUGAAAUUCGUAGAUAUUCGCAAGAACACCAGUGGCGAAGGCGGCUUACUGGUCCGGUUCUGACGCUGAGGCGCGAAAGCGUGGGGAGCGAACAGG